UGCUGCUUGGAGAGGAGCUCGCGUCCCAUCAGCUUGUUGGUAGGGUAACGGCCUACCAAGGCGUACGGGUAGCCGGCCUGAGAGGGUGACCGGCCACACUGGGACUGAGACACUGCCCAGACUCCUACGGGAGGCUGCAGUCGAGGAUCAUUCGCAAUGCGCGAAAGCGUGACGAUGCGACGCUGCGUGGAGGAUGACGGCCCUAGGGUUGUAAACUCCUGUCAUGAGGGAACAGCCGGCAAAGGGAUAAUACCCCUUCGCUCCGAUGGUACCUCAAGAGGAAGCCACGGCUAACUCUGUGCCAGCAGCCGCGGUAAUACAGAGGUGGCGAGCGUUGUUCGGAUUUACUGGGCGUAAAGGGUGCGUAGGUGGUUUCGUAUGUCGGAUGUGAAAGCCCGGGGCUCAACCCCGGAACUGCAUUCGAAACUGCGGGACUAGAGUACAGGAUGGGAGAGCGGAAUUCUUGGUGUAGCGGUGAAAUGCGUUGAGAUCAAGAAGAACACCGGCGGCGAAGGCGGCUCUCUGGAAUGUUACUGACACUCAUGCACGAAAGCUGGGGUAGCAAACAGGAUUAGAUACCCUGGUAGUCCCAGCUGUAAACUGUGUGCACUUGGUGUUGNCGGUAUUGACCCCGCCAGUGCCGGAGUUAACGCGUUAAGUGCACCGCCUGAGGAGUACGAUCGCAAGGUUAAAACUCAAAGAAAUUGACGGGGGCCCGCACAAGCGGAGGAGCAUGUGGCUUAAUUCGAUGCAACGCGAAGAACCUUACCUGGGUUUGACAUCGGGGAGGCUUGCCUCUAGCGCGUGAAAGCGCGUUAACCAGACAGGUGCUGCAUGGCUGUCGUCAGUUCGUGCCGUGAGGUGUUGGGUUAAGUCCCGCAACGAACGCAACCCUUAUGUUUAGUUGCCACCCCCGAGCAAUCGGGGCGCACUCUAGACAGACUGCCCGUACAAGCGGGAGGAAGGUGGGGAUGACGUCAAGUCCGUAUGGCCCUUACACCCAGGGCUGCACACGUGCUACAAUGGUCGGUACAGAGGGAUGCUACACCGCGAGGUUACGCAAAUCCCUAAAAGCCGGUCCCAGUUCGGAUUGCAGUCUGUAACUCGACUGCAUGAAGUUGGAUUCGCUAGUCACGGCGUAUCA
rnacentral:rRNA from 1 species